GAUGAAGAACGCAGCGAAAUGCGAUAAGUAAUGUGAAUUGCAGAAUUCAGUGAAUCAUCGAAUCUUUGAACGCACCUUGCGCCCUUUGGUCAUUCCGAAGGGCAUGCCUGUUUGAGUAUCAUGAACACCUCAACUCUUUAUGGUUUUCCAUGAUGAGCUUGGACUUUGGGGGUUUUGCUGGCCUAUGGUCGGCUCCUCUAAAAUAAAUCAGCUUACCGGUGUUUGGUGGGUAUCAUGGGUGUGAUAACUAUCUACGCUUGUGGUUUUUCCACCAGGUAACCUUCGACAGCGGAGGUUCACUGGAGCUCAUAGAUGUCUCUCCUCAGCGAGGACAGCCCUUUGAAUGUUUGAUCUCAAAUCAGGUAGGACUACCCGCUGAACUUAAGCAUAUCAAUAAGCGGAGGA
rnacentral:misc_RNA from 1 species